AAUAGCAAUAACAUCAAGCACCACCUAGCAGCUGACAGAGAAGCCAUGGUGCUCGUACUCACUGCUCUGCCAUCGUCCAUCUUCAGCGCCUGUUCCUGUUCUCACUUCUCAUGGUCAUAAUAGCAACAAAUAAGAGAAAGGUCUUUCUUUUUCAGCUACAUUGACUAAUGUCAUAACUGGAGGAUGCUGAAGGCCCUAUAACUCGCACCAGGAUCAAUUGCCUUGGAGAGCUGGUCUGGACCUCAUGGAUUUUGACUUUUUCUUUCUAGCCCCAAAACAAGAAGCAUAAAAGAAUUUAUUACUUUUAAAGGAUCAGGAUGAAACUGACAUCUAUCUUGAGAAGUCCAAAUGGGACUUUCUGAAGUAACUCUCACAGCCAUGUAUAUAGAGGGGAACUAAGAUCUUGCACCAGUAGCAGAAACUCAUAAUGACAAUAGAUUGUGACUGCAGAUUCCUGACACUCCAGAAAGACUUAUGAGUGACUCCAAGAUAAUCAGAAUUGGACUGGAAGAAUAGAGCUGAAGAUUCAUUUGUGCUGUGCUGUUAGAAAUAGCAACCUCAGUACUGGAAAGGAGGCUGCUAACUAUGCCACCCUUCUACUUUCUGAUCCUUACCUCCACAUUACAAGGGCUAUGUGGAUCGGAAAUUUGGACAGCUACCUGGAUGUGUAUUUCAGAAUAUAGAGAUCUUUAUAA